rnacentral:rRNA from 1 species
GAUGAACGCUGGCGGCGUGCCUAAUACAUGCAAGUCGAGCGAACGGAUGAGAAGCUUGCUCCUCUGACGUUAGCGGCGGACGGGUGAGUAACACGUGGAUAACCUACCUAUAAGACUGGGAUAACUUCGGGAAACCGUAGCUAAUACCGGAUAAUAUUUUGAACCGCAUGGUUCAAUAGUGAAAGACGGUUUUGCUGUCACUUAUAGAUGGAUCCGCGCCGCAUUAGCUAGUUGGUAAGGUAACGGCUUACCAAGGCAACGAUGCAUAGCCGACCUGAGAGGGUGAUCGGCCACACUGGAACUGAGACACGGUCCAGACUCCUACGGGAGGCAGCAGUAGGGAAUCUUCCGCAAUGGGCGAAAGCCUGACGGAGCAACGCCGCGUGAGUGAUGAAGGUCUUCGGAUCGUAAAACUCUGUUAUUAGGGAAGAACAUAUGUGUAAGUAACUGUGCACGUCUUGACGGUACCUAAUCAGAAAGCCACGGCUAACUACGUG